UACGAAGGGGGGCUAGCGUUACUCGGAUUGACUGGGCGUAAAGGGCGCGUAGGCGGUUCGUACAGUCAGACGUGAAAUUCCUGGGCUCAACCUGGGGGCUGCGUUUGAUACGUGCGGGCUUGAGUUCGGAAGAGGGUCGUGGAAUUCCCAGUGUAGAGGUGAAAUUCGUAGAUAUUGGGAAGAACACCGGUGGCGAAGGCGGCGACCUGGUCCGAUACUGACGCUGAGGAGCGAAAGCGUGGGGAGCGAACAGG
rnacentral:rRNA from 1 species